GCGUUGUUUCGGCACGAUUGUUCCUUGGCGGGUUUCUUUGCGUUGCUCGCGUACCGCCAGUAUCUCGACUUUUGUACUGACUUUUGGUUUGCUCUGGAGAAAAAUGCGAGACAAUUUUCGGUGCUUUUUGACUGUUUGGAACCUUUUUAAUAAUUACGUUGAAACGUUGUUGAUUCUUAUUAAAUAUUGUUUUGUUGAAUCUGAGGACGAACAAAAACAAAAACAAAUCCCAAUCAAAGUCAAGGAAACCAACAUAUGGAAAGGCAACUCUAGGACAAACAAACAAAAACAAAAGAAAAACAACAAAUCGCGAAAA